rnacentral:piRNA from 1 species
UAAACUUGGAAACCAAAAAAG